ensembl:lncRNA
AUGCGCAGCUCGGCCCGGCUCAGCUCGGCCCGGCCCAGCCCCGCCCGCAGCCGCGUCGCGUUGAACACGAAGAACAGGCUGCGGGCGGUGGGGCGCCAGCGCUGCGCGUCACCUGCGGGACACGGGGACACUGCUGUCACCGGGACACUGCUGGCACCGGGGACACUGCGGGGACACCGCUGGCACCGGGGACACUGCGGGGACACUGCGGGGACACCGCUGUCACUGGGACACUGCGGGGACACUGCUGUCACUGGGGACACUGCGGGGACACCGCUGGCACCGGGGACACUGCGGGGACACUGCGGGGACACCGCUGUCACUGGGACACUGCGGGGACACUGCUGUCACUGGGGACACUGCGGGGACACCGCUGGCACCGGGGACACUGCGGGGACACUGCGGGGACACCGCUGUCACUGGGACACUGCGGGGACACUGCUGUCACUGGGGACACUGCGGGGACACCGCUGGCACCGGGGACACUGCGGGGACACUGCGGGGACACCGCUGUCACUGGGACACUGCGGGGACACUGCUGUCACUGGGGACACUGCGGGGACACCGCUGGCACCGGGGACACUGCGGGGACACUGCGGGGACACCGCUGUCACUGGGACACUGCGGGGACACUGCUGUCACUGGGGACACUGCGGGGACACCGCUGGCACCGGGGACACUGCGGGGACACUGCGGGGACACCGCUGUCACUGGGACACUGCGGGGACACUGCUGUCACUGGGGACACUGCGGGGACACCGCUGGCACCGGGGACACUGCGGGGACACUGCGGGGACACCGCUGUCACUGGGACACUGCGGGGACACUGCUGUCACUGGGGACACUGCGGGGACACCGCUGGCACCGGGGACACUGCGGGGACACUGCGGGGACACCGCUGUCACUGGGACACUGCGGGGACACUGCUGUCACUGGGGACACUGCGGGGACACCGCUGGCACCGGGGACACUGCGGGGACACUGCGGGGACACCGCUGUCACUGGGACACUGCGGGGACACCGCUGGCACCAUGGCCACCUCGGGGACACUGCUGCCACCUCGGGGACACCGCUGUCACCUGGGGGUCACCAUGGCCACCACGGCCACCACUGUCACCUGCAGGACACUGCUGUCCCCAGGUGGUCAGCGCAGGGUCACCAUGGCCACCUCGGGGACAUCGUGGCCAUCUUGGGGUCACCAUGGCCACCACUGUCACCUCAGGGACACUGCUGUCACCUUGGGGUCACCACUGUCACCUGGGGGAUACUGCAGGGUCACCAUGGCCACUACGGCCACCACUGUCAGCUAGGGGACACUGCUGUCACCUGCGGGUCACCAUGGCCACCACUGUCACCUUGGGGACAUCGCUGUCACUUUGGGGACACUGCUGCCACCUCCAGGACAUUGCUAUCACCUCGGGGCCACCACGGCCACCACCGUCACCCCAGAAUCACCACGGCCACCCUGGGGACACUGCUGUCACCUCAGGGUCACCACGGCCACCUCAGGGAUAUUGCUGUCACCUCAGGGCCACCACGGCCACCACCGUCACCCCAGGUCAUCACGGCCACCUUGGGGACACUGCUGUCACCUUGGGGACACUGCUGUCACCUUGGGGACACUACUGCCACCUGGGGGGCCACCAUGGCACCUUGGGGCCACUGCAGCCACCUCAGGGCCACCGCUGUCACCUCGGGGCCACCACUGUCAGCUUGGGGUCACCACGGCCACUUCAGGGACACCGUGGUCAUCUCGGGGACACUGGGGUCACCCACGGCUCAUUGGGGUCACCUCAAGGUCAUCGGGGUCACCUCGGGGUCAUUGGGGUCACCCACGGCUCAUUGGGGUCACCUUGGGGUCACCUCGAGGUCAUCGGGGUCACCUGGGGGGCACUGAGGUCACCUUGGGGACACUCGGGUCACCUUGGGGUCAUUAGGGUCACCUUGGGGUCAUUGAGGUCACCUUGA